rnacentral:rRNA from 1 species
AGAGUUUGAUCCUGGCUCAGGAUGAACGCUAGCGGGAGGCUUAACACAUGCAAGUCGAGGGGCAACAGGAGUAGCAAUACUUGCUGGCGACCGGCGCACGGGUGAGUAACGCGUAUGCAACCUACCCAUAACAGGGGGAUAGCUUUCGGAAACGGAAAUUAAUACCCCAUAGGAUUUUAAUGCCGCAUGGUAUAAAGAUUAAAACUACGGUGGUUAUGGAUGGGCAUGCGUGCCAUUAGCUAGUUGGCGGGGUAACAGCCCACCAAGGCGACGAUGGCUAGGGGGUCUAAAAGGAUGAUCCCCCACACUGGUACUGAGACACGGACCAGACUCCUACGGGAGGCAGCAGUGAGGAAUAUUGGUCAAUGGGCGAGAGCCUGAACCAGCCAUCCCGCGUGCAGGAAGACGGCCCUAUGGGUUGUAAACUGCUUUUUUAUGGGAAGAAAAAGCCCUACGUGUAGGGCACUGACGGUACCAUAUGAAUAAGCAUCGGCUAACUCCGUGCCAGCAGCCGCGGUAAUACGGAGGAUGCGAGCGUUAUCCGGAUUUAUUAGGUUUAAAGGGUGUGUAGGCGGGUUAUUAAGUCAGUGGUGAAAUCUCAGAGCUUAACUCUGAAACUGCCAUUGAUACUGGUAAUCUUGAGUACAGUUGAAGUAGGCGGAAUGUGUAAUGUAGCGGUGAAAUGCUUAGAUAUUACACAGAACACCGAUUGCGAAGGCAGCUUACUAAGCUGUUACUGACGCUGAUGCACGAAAGCGUGGGGAGCGAACAGGAUUAGAUACCCUGGUAGUCC